GCACCGCGACACCUGGGUUAAUUCAGUACGAGGCGCCAACUUCCUCGCUCGCUUCUCCGUUGGCAUCAUUGCUUCGGAUCUAAAUUUAAAGAUACAAGUCCAGUUUCCAAACCUGUGUACUCCUCAGGAGCAGGGACCUCGGUCACCUCGGCCUUGAGUUCCUGGAAGCCGGCGUGUCCCCGCUGCCAUGCCGAAUCUGUCACGGAAGCACAUCCACCAGUCCACACGUUUGCUGUUGUGUUGAUUUGAGGGUGAAGGCGUGGCGCUACGGCAGUGGACUCACCUCUUAAACUGCUGCUGUCACCUUGCCUGUUGGGACGCGCCAUCAGGCAACCACAAAAGGUUCCCCGCCUGAUAAAGUACCACAAGAGUGACCAUGGUGUUGUGUUUCUUACCUCCAGCCCUGGGCGGCACCACGGGGCUCUGAGGUGGGCAGGGUCUGUUCCGCAGCCUCUCCAUCUCCCUCAGCGUCUCUUCCAUGCGGCGCUGAAGCCCACCCAGCUCCCUCUCCAGGCGUUCUUUCUCCCCCUGCAGCAGGUUCCUCUCGCCCACUGUGCGGGUCAGCGUCUCCUGAAGUCCCGACUGGCUCCGGCCUCCAGGCUGGGUGGUGCCUCCAGUGAGCCUGGACACCAGCGCCUCCAGCAGGGAGAGUCUGGCCUUGAAGCCCUCCAGCUCUGGGCUUGCAGUCUGCGGGCAGCUGGCCUCAGCGGGACUGGCCACGGUGAAGGUGUACUGGCAUCGCCCGCUGCGGUCGUUCCCCCUCCAGAGGGCAGCGUGGUCCUGAGCGUCCCCUUGAGCCAGAAGCCCCACAAGGCAGAGCAGGAGGAACAUGACGGAGCUACUGACACGCCUAGAUCUUCCUCCCGGCAGGCUGACUAACAGAGCUUGGCACCGUUGUCCUCUCCUUCAUCAUCUUCCUGGGCCUGGCGACUCACUCAAACCAGAUAAAACCGGUCGUCGAGACGCUCGCCCCUCUCUAUCACUUUGGAGAUGUUCUCCUGCAUCACAUCAAUCACCUCAUCCACCUGUGACUGCACCCUGAGGACCACAUGGGUCAACAACAAUGGCUAAGGAGCACAUUGACAACAAGUGACGAAAGCAAGAAUAAACUCUGGGGUGGUCCACACGUACACAACAUCCUCUGUGUUAAGGGCGAGGGGUAGGCAGCAAAGAGGAGGGGGACGGGGUUACACAAUAACAUGCAUGAGAAGGGGUCCCUCUUACACAAUGCGCUAACAACCUGCAGUCGCCAGUAAACACAACAAGCUUGGUUAUAUAACACAUAAACAGGCACCAAAAGCUAGCUCGUGUGUUGAACACACAACAUUUGACCUCUGGCACUGACUGAGGAAUGUGUUUUGGACUCACUGUUUGAGUUUGUCAUUCUGGGGUCCAAAUCUGGGUCCUGUGGGCCCCCGCCUGGUGAACAGGUAGGAAACAAAUCAGUGUUUUAUAAAAUAUCAUCAGGCAGUUACGUGGUGAGAAAUGAAUAGUUACAAAUUUAAGCUAUUUCUAUAAAAUGUAUGAACAUGUUCAGAAACUCACAGGAAAAAGUCUUCCUCUUCAUCAGAGUCUUCUUCCAAAAGGUUCCUCUGUUAACACAAAAAGGUACAAAGCUCUCUAUAGACUUUAAAAUAAGCACUUAUUUUGGUUAGUUUAGCCUGAUUCAAAAUAUGCUAUUUGUCAUAAAUGCAUACACAAUAAACAUACGGUUGAAAUGAUAGCUCAUAUAAAGUUAGCAUUAUUUCCUUGUAAAAGGCACACUGUCCACAGCUUUAGUAUUGGAGGUUAACCUAAUAUUAAGUGGCUUUAUUUUGAUGACUUUCUGUCUUCACCUCAUCUUAUAUCAAAAGAUAUAAGUGAACAUAGCAAGUCAACAUGUGUGUGUAUGUAUCAACAGCGACAGUCUAAAAGAAGGAGCGCCACCAGACACCACACGCUAUUCAUGGUGAAUUAGCAAGGACAGGUGCAUUAAAUUCCUCACAACAAGAGGAGAAUUUUCCCAACGUGGCUUGCUUUCUUAUUGGACGAGAGGACACAAAUUUGCUGUUGCUGGGAGAGGAAAAAAUGGCCUCUCAGUCGUGGGUUUAUCUAAACAUGGCACAUGCAUUAUUACGGGAUGUUCCAUGAGAUUAUGUAGAAUUUAGGCGACACUUCCUCCAGGCACUGUUGGAACAACAGAGAUGCCAAACAAAAGGCUGAUGGAGGAUCUACAGCACACUGUAGAUAGUAACAGAGCCCAGAAAAGGGGGUGGGAUUAUGUGAGCGUCCUCCGUUUGUCAUAUACAUCAUCACAUGCAUGAUGGUGGAGGGCAAUUGAUGGAACAAAACAUUAUCAUGCAAUGCCUUCUUUAACAACAGAGCGGCUUUUGAUUUCAUUUCAUGCACUUGGAUGUGGAUGCGUGUGCCUUAUAACAUGCUGAGACAAGUGGGGGGGAAUUUCUUAUUAGCAUGAACGUCAUUCGGAAGUGGUUAUUUCAAGCAAAUUUAACAAGUGGACUGUGUGAUUCACAGCCUUCUGUGUCGUCUUGAUAACAACUUAUUUCUAAAUAUAUUGUGAUCUUCAGACUGGUGAGCGUGUCCAUAAAAAACCUUCAUGCACACAUCAUCAUUUUUGUUGUGUCAGUCCACUCUUCUCUCUUUCUCACCCUCUCACUGCGAAUGGAUCCUGUGACCUCGUCGUCAUUGAGGUGUCGUUUAAACUUGGGGGGCAUAUCGGCGUUGGGCUGCUCCUCCCGUUCGGGCUCCCUCUGCAGGAGCACAGAAAGGUUGAUUACUAAGCAAACCAUGCGUGGAUAGAUAGAACAGGCUUGUGAUGGCAGCAGACUAUUUCUAUUGUUUCUACUGCCCUGUCUUUGAAUAUGUGCUAUCUUAAAUGACUUCAAAAUGUACCUUUGUUUCAAACAUGCCUUCAUGAACAAGCCUAUUCAAUCUCAAAGUAACCAAACAUACUUUAAGCUCCGGCUGACUAUAAAACAUAU